rnacentral:tRNA from 2 species
GCCGAGGUGGUGGAAUUGGUAGACACGCCAUCUUGAGGGGGUGGUGGGCGAAAGCCUGUAGGAGUUCAAAUCUCCUCCUCGGCACCA